GCCCCUAUGCGAGGCGGGAUUUUCAUCGCGCUAACCAGCGGCUCCUUACCCUGGGCCGACUGCGUCUGCACGAAUGUCUUGAUGAGCAGGAAACACUCCCUGGACUCUCCCAUCCUUUCCAAUACCCUGUCCUGACCCCACAGAGCUGGGGAUGUCCUCAGGGGUCUGCCGCCAGCCAGCCUGGACCUGACAAAGAAGGGUGAUCAGGGAGUGUUUAUAAAUGGAAUGGAUUAAGGUUGCAUCCCAGGGACAGACGUUUGGAGCCCCCAGAAGGUGCUGAAGAGGAGAUGGUGACCUUGUCCCCAGAAAUCUCAGUGCUGUGGGGGCACUACCCAUCCUCCCACCUCCACUGUGGCCCCAGACAAGGAAAUGGAGGCUGGGAGGUGGACUUCCCAAGGUCACAGAGAAAACGGCUGGGCUGAGAUUUGAUGCCAAGUCUGCCUGACACCAAGGAGUCACAACAUUGUC